rnacentral:rRNA from 1 species
AAUCAACGCUGGCGGCGUGCCUCAGACAUGCAAGUCGAACGAGAAAGUUUCCUUCGGGAGACGAGUACAGUGGCGUCCGGGUGAGUAACACGUGGGUAAUUUACCUUUGGGUGGGGAAUAGCAGCCGGAAACGGCUAUUAAUACCGCAUAAUGCAGCGGCUCGACAUCGAGACAGUUGUUAAAGCGGGGAUCUGACAAGGACCUCGCGCCUAAAGAGAAGCCUGCGUCAGAUAGCUAGUUGGUAGGGUAAUGGCCUACCAAGGCUGUGAUCUGUAGCCGGCCUGAGAGGGCGGUCGGCCACACUGACACUGACACACGGGUCAGACUCCUACGGGAGGCAGCAGUCGGGAAUUUUGGGCAAUGGGCGCAAGCCUGACCCAGCAACGCCGCGUGAAGGAUG